AUGAAAUUCUCGGGAGAUGAUUCUGAAAAAGAAUAGCCGAAGGAAUAAGUGAUGUAUUCCCAUACAUCAUGAAGCUCUCAGGCAAAUGUAUCGAGAAUGGACA
rnacentral:ncRNA from 1 species